AUUGAACGCUGGCGGCAGGCCUAACACAUGCAAGUCGAGCGGAGCGGCGGACGGGUGAGUAAUGCUUAGGAAUCUGCCUGGUAGUGGGGGAUAACGUCCGGAAACGGGCGCUAAUACCGCAUACUAUCAGAUGAGCCUAGGCCGGAUUGGCUAGUUGGUGGGGUAAAGGCAUACCAAGCCGAAGAUCCGUAACUGGUCUGAGAGGAUGAUCAGUAAAACUGGAACUGAGACACGGUCCAGACUCCUACGGGAGGCAGCAUUGGGGAAUAUUGGACAAUGGGCGAAAUCCUGAUCCAGCCAUGCCGCGUUUGUGAAGAAGGUCUUCGGAUUGUAAAGCACUUUAAGUUGGGAGGCGUUACCAACAGAAUAAGCACCGGCUAACUUCGUGCCAGCAGCCGCGGUAAUUC
rnacentral:rRNA from 1 species